rnacentral:pre_miRNA from 1 species
GAUUUCAACUGAAAAAGUCAUCAACAACAAAGUUAUAUAACUCAUCAAUAUCUAUAACUUUUAUUUUAUUCAUUUUUUCAAUCCGAUAAAGUGAUAGUAACAUUGUUCACAAAAUUCACAUCUCUCAUUUGGUUUUAUAAACUAUAACACAGAUAUGUGAAUUUUGUGAACAAUGUUAAUAACACUUUGUCGGAUGAAGAAAUGACAAACAUAAAAGUUAUAGAUCUUGGUGAGUUAUACAACUUUNUUGUUGAUGANUUUUUNAGUUGAAAUC